rnacentral:lncRNA from 1 species
ACCUGGCUCACGGCGAGUGCGGAGCAGAAAGCACUACUGGCGCGGGCCACAGCCAGCCGCUUUCAUCUGCUAAGACCUCACCUGAAAGUCGCACCAGUGCCCUCAAGGAUCCUCCCGCCUCUGCAGGAUGUCGAGGCUCCUCCUCGCGGGGAGGAGAAAGACGAAUCCCCUCCCUGCAUUCUCGGACAGUGCCACGUCCUCCGGCUGCCAGCGGGGCAGCGCCGCUAGGUACCGCUGCGCGCCGCCCCCGCUUCCCGCCAGCAGCCUCACCUUUCCCGGCCCCGCCCCGCCUGGGUUCUAAGGGCCUGAGGCUGCGAGGCAGGCGAGGGAAGGCUUGGUAACGGAGGGGCGGGGCCGUGCAACCCUUACCUCGACUCUGAACAGGAAUGUCCAGAAAAGAGUAGAGGAGUGUUUCUCCCUUGAUGUGGGUGGGGGAGGGUUAGUACCCGUGGGUGACUUGCCCUUCUUUAGAUAAAAAAGCACAGAGCAGUCACCUGAGAAAGAGUCCGGCACAUACAAUGUGAAUCUGGUUAACCAAGAUCUUGAAGAUAGUAGAAGAGAAAUGGGCUUUUUUAAGGAUGCAGCCAGCCGCGAGUAGAUUACCACCAUUGAAGUCCCUUUCCCUCAGGUAGAGGGCAGUCAUUAUUUUAGGACAGGGGACGGUAGACAAACACUAGCGCAAAAGACAGUGCUUCUUUCCGUAAGAGCUGGAGUGUCUGGGAAUGCAGCUCGCGCCAGAAAGGACUGGGAACUUCACUGACUUCGGUGAAAACCAUGUCUUACUCAGCAUUGUACAGUGAUAGGUCCUCCACCCUUGGGUCCAAAACUUAGAUUGCACACAAAGAGGAGGGAAGCUGGAGCCCUGACUAGGUAGAAUGCUGGUACCUCCGGCCAUUUUUAAUAAGGAAUUAUCUUCCUGGCUUGAGAGGCAUUCAGACACGUAACAAGAGGAACAACCUCAGCAAUCACUUGCAGUCCCCUAGAGCAGGACAUUUCCCAGUUCUAAUCAUGCUAAAUUUUUACUAACUUGACCUUGUAAGCUAAGGCCAGCAACAUCUAAGUUUUUCUGAACCUCAUCCCCAGGACAGAGUCCAUACUCCUAAGCCUGAAGACAUCCAAAUGCCAUCUCUGAGAGUUCAUAAUAAGCCCCCAAACUUC